rnacentral:rRNA from 1 species
UACGAGAUGUGCAAGCGUUGUUCGGAAUCACUGGGCAUAAAGGGUGCGUAGGUGGCUUUUCUAGUCGGUUGUGAAAUCCCUCGGCUUAACCGGGGAAUUGCAUCCGAUACUAAAAAGCUAGAGGAUAAAAGGGGCAAGCGGAAUUCUAGGUGUAGCGGUGGAAUGCGUAGAUAUCUGGGAGAACGCCAAGGGCGAAGGCAGCUUGCUGGGUUAUUCCUGACACUGAGGCACGAAAGCUAGGGGAGCAAACAGG